rnacentral:rRNA from 1 species
AUUGAACGCUAGCGGGAUGCUUUACACAUGCAAGUCGAACGAGCGGCGGACGGGUGAGUAAUGUAUGGGGACUGCCCGAUAGAGGGGGAUAACUACUGGAAACGGUAGCUAAUACCGCAUACUAUCGGAUAACCCAUAUGGGAUUAGCUAUUAGGUGAGGUAAUGGCGCACCUAGGCGACGAUCCCUAGCUGGUCUGAGAGUAUGAUCAGCCACACGGGGACUGAGCAACUGCCUAGACUCCUACGGAGGAAGCAGUGGGGAAUAUUGCACAAUGGUCGCAAGCCUGAUGCAGCCAUGCCGCGUGUAUGAAGAAGGCCCUAGGGUUGUAAAGUACUUUCAGUCGGGAGGCGUUACCGACAGAAGAAGCACCGGCUAACUCCGUGCCAGCCGCCGCGGUAAUAC